CUAGAGUCUCCUGCUCCUCCAUUCCUGCUUCCUCCUCACGCUGCCCCCACAUCCUCCCCAACUCACCUUCAUGCUACAUCUCGGCAAAUACAGCUCAUAUCCAGGCACGGUGCAGCCCUUGACAGCUGGGUCCGCAAAGGCAGAUCGGAUGUUCUGCCAAUUGAAUGGAAACUGUCCAUAGUGGGGAGCAGAGAGCCUCAUCUUUUCUGGAACUGAACAUCCAUCCUUAAGGCCAGAUUUCUCCCAUCACCAACUUUAACUCCUGCCCUAGCCCUCUCUCUUCCUUUUCAAAACCCUCUCCACCCAGGAAGGGAGAUUCUGGAGCCAAGACUGUACCAGCCACACCUCCCCAGAGUUGUUAAGGAAGGAACUCGAAGCCAGGGGUGGUCUUCUGGCAAGCACCCCCACUACCAGUAGCAGGACAGAUGUGUUUCUAAUGGACUACACUAUCCCCGGAGGUCACAUGAUUCAGGCUGCCAAGGGUACCUGCCCUUGGGAAAUCAACUCCCGAAGAUAAAUUGGGAUUGGGUCCUGAGAAGAUCCAUGGAAGCCCAGAGGACCCUGCCUCUCUCUGUUGCUUCAUGCUGUAGAGGCAGUACUGGGGAGGGCCUGCCCCACAUCCGGCAGGGCAGCUGGAACCAUGUGUUUGAUGACACUCUGCUCCCUCAAUGUGGAGCCUCAUCCUCAUCUCACAGUCUAGCAGGCCUCUGGUGGGUUAGGCUUGUCUCACCCAGUGUGUGAGUUUUUUUGGAAGUGACCUGAUUUUGGAGUUUCCCUCCAAGCCUUUCUCAGGUACAUGCUUUCUCUUUUAUUCUGUCUUCUUUUUUUGAUCUUCUUAAAUCUGAUUUUCUCCUUUUUCCCUCUCUUGUCUCCAUCUUUUUUCCAGUCUCUCGCUUCUCUUUAUUUCUCCCCAUAUUUCACUCUGUUCUCUCACCCCAACCUUUCCCUUCUGUUUCUCUCCCUCCCUCUCUUCCCACCCCCUGCCUGGCCUUCCAUAUAUCAAGCAGAGUUUUAUCACCUUAUGCAGGGGCAGCCCUGCCACCUGCCAUAAAGUUGAUAGGCUAAUGACAUUUUGUGGAUAUUGCCAUGUCACAAGUCCAGGACAGCAUCAAAAAUAGCCCUGAUGUCUAAACCACUUCAGCUAUCUUUUUUAUUUUUAAAAUAAAUACAUUCACAUGCUUUUAAGAAACUAUAAAAAUAUAUAAAGUAAAAAGAUCUUUCUCUCACACUGUCUCCACCUCUCCUGGUCUCACCGUUGUGCUUAGGGGAAACCAUUGUGAUUAGUUUCUCCUGUGUCCUUCCAGAGUGUCUUUAUGCAAAUGAAAAUUAUUGUGAUAAUAUAUUCCUAUUUUCCCCCUUACUACACAAAAGAUAGACUACCAUAAUCCCAUUCUGCACUUUUUUUUCACUUGAUAAUAAAAACAUGAUUUUAUUAA
rnacentral:lncRNA from 1 species